AGCGAACGCUGGUGGCAGGCUUAACACAUGCAAGUCGAACGCCUCGCAAGGGGAGUGGCAGACGGGUGAGUAACACGUGGGAACGUACCCUUUGGUUCGGAAUAACUUGGGGAAACUCAAGCUAAUACCGGAUAAGCCCUUAUGGGGAAAGGUUUACUGCCGAAGGAUCGGCCCGCGUCUGAUUAGCUAGUCGGUGAGGUAAUGGCUCACCAAGGCGACGAUCGGUAGCUGGUCUGAGAGGAUGAUCAGCCGCACUGGGACUGAGACACGGCCCAGACUCCUACGGGAGGCAGCAGUGGGGAAUAUUGGACAAUGGGGGCAACCCUGAUCCAGCCAUGCCGCGUGAGUGAUGAAGGCCUUAGGGUUGUAAAGCUCUUUUACCCGGGACGAUAAUGACUGUACCGGGAGAAUAAGCCCCGGCUAACUUCGUGCCAGCCGCCGCAGUAA
rnacentral:rRNA from 1 species